AUUCAGAGUUGCAAACUCCCUACACCAUUGUGAACGUUACCUAAACCGUUGCUUCGGCGGGCGGCCCCGGGGUUUACCCCCCGGGCGCCCCUGGGCCCCACCGCGGGCGCCCGCCGG
rnacentral:rRNA from 1 species